GUGCUAAGCUUAGUGCUCUCUCUCCCACCACCAGUGGCAGAGCCACUGUGUGGGGAGAAACACCUUUUUAUCUUGGAGAGGGGCAGCCUUGUUUCUGAGGACAGAUGGGAGCAAAACGGGACAGGUAGGAAGUUUCGUGGUUUCUCGUGUCGCUUCUCCAAAAUAGCCACACUGCUGCCUCCCACUUCCUGCCUGACUCGGCUGGGGUAGAUUUUCUCCUUUAGAGGAUUUGUGUUCUGUGUAUUCCCAGGGAGGCUCGAAGGGAUCUGUUGCCAAAAACAUGCUUGACACUGAAGCCCUGGAGCUUGGCACUGAGGGCCCCAGCUCAGGUUUGGACCACUGGGUUUGCAUCCGGGCUCUGUCUCAUACUGGCUGCGUGACCUUGGGCAAAUGACUUCACUUCUCUGUGCCUCAUCAGUAGGAUGGAGAUAACAACUCUAGCUAUAUCCAGCAGUUACUCUGCAGAUUAAAUGAAUAUGUGUAAAGGGCACAGCCCAGUGUGGGCACAUAGCAACUCUUAAUGAAUCUCUUAAUAAAAAACAGCAAUGUUGUUGUUGAUCUCCAUCCCCUACCUGGAAAACUGUACCAGCCUCCCAGCCACCUUCCCUUUCCCCUGGCUUGCCUGCUCCAGCACAUCCCAGCAUGAUCCGAGAGUGAUAGAAACGUGAAACACAAAUCUGACCCUGCUAUCUGCUGCUUAAAAUCCACCCAUAGCUUCCAGCGUCUAUGGCAGGAAUGAGCAUUCUUUUGCUCUGAAUGGCCAGAUAGUAUUUGAAGCUUUGCCGGGCAUAUAGUCUCUCUUGACUUUGUCAUUGCAGCCUGGAAGCAACCACAGAUAAUAUGUAAAAAAUGGGCGUGGUUGUGUUCCAGUAAAAUUUUAUGUACGAAAACAGGCAGCCGGCUGGAUUUGCCAACCCUUGACCUACAGGAUGAAUCCAGACCCUUAGCUCAGCAUUCCCAGUUCAGCCUGUUCCCGUUAUCUCCAUCCUUCUUCCUCCCCCACCCCUGCUCUUGUGCAGAACAUGUCACACUUUAAUCCUUUGCGUGUGCUGCUCCCUCUUUCUGAGUUUUCCUUCCCUGCCCCCUGAGUGCCCCUUCCCCAUGGCAUUAGGACCUUUACUCUGGGAUUCUGUGGUACCCUGUCUUUAUUUCUACCCUGGUCAUAUAUGCAAGUUCCAUCUGUCUCUCCAUGAGAGGGGCUCCCCUCUAGGCAGGGAUUCGGCCUUCCUCUUCUGUACACCCAGCAGGGUGCUGCUGUAUAGGUUUCUGCAGGUGCUCAGUAAGCAUUUGUUAUUGAACCCAAGGAUCUGCAAGAUGGAUGGUUGGCCUCAGGGAGCUCACAGUCAGCUUAGAAAGCUAGGAUAUGAGCCAGUCAAAAGCCAGCCAGCAAUCCAGGCAGGAAAUGAUGAUGGUCUGUGUGUUUGGCCCUAACUGAUGUCAAGUGGAGAUUCUGAGCUUGAUAGAGGAAGGUGAAGGCAUUUGAGUUGGAUGUUGCAGGGUGGGAAAGAGACUUGCAGAGAUAGGGAGGUCAGGAAGUCUUUCCAAGUUGGGGAAGUCAUAAGAGAAGAGCAGGGCUGACCAGGCCUGGGGGCUUAGGCCUGUAAUCCCAGCUACUUGGGAGGCUGAGGCAGGAGGAUCACCUGAGCCGGAGAGUUUGAGACUAGAAUGGGCAAGGUAGUGAGACCUCAUCUCAAAAACUAGAAAAAUAAAAAAUUUAGCCAGAUGUGGUGGUCAUACUCCUGUAGUCCUAAAUAUUGAGACUGAAGCGGGUGGAUGGCUUGAGCCCAGGAGACGGAGGCUGCAGUGAGCUGUGAUUAUACCACUGCACUGCAGCCUGAGGGACACAGCAAGACCCUGUCUCGAAAAACAAAACAAAACAAAAGAAGAAGAAGAGCAGGCUCAUUGCUGAGCUCAGGGUGGGGAGUGGACAGAGCAGUCUGGCCACGGCUGCAGGCCCUCCCUUGGGAGACAGAGGGGGCCAAUGCUGGAAAGCAGGGCGAAGUUUUCAUCAAUGAGUUGGGGGUGGUGAGGAAGCUUAGACUUUAUCCUGUGAGCCAGAAUUUCUCCAUGUGUGUCCACAUACCCUCCCAUAACAGAAUUACCUUGAGUUUCUUUAAAAUGCAGAUUCCAGGGCUCUGUCCCAUACUGGGGGCCAGGAGGCUGAAGGGGGUCAAGGCCGUGGUCUGUGGGAGGAAGAGGCUGCACCAUGGCUAUGGGUGCACCACAAGUAUUAUUCAGACUGGUGUCACCUGUAGGAAGCCGGGUGAUGCCUUUCCCAGCUGGACUGGGGACAGGUGAGGCGGGAAUGAAUAAUCCUCCCAAAGGGCAAUUGGGAACACCCAAGCUCAAACGUGGCAAGUGACUUGCCCAGGGUCACACUGUCAAUUACUUGCAGGUGUGGGGCUGACCAGUUAUGGAACAGGCUUCCUCUCCCAAUCUCAGGGCCUCGGGUGGUCCUCGAGGUGCCGCAGGUGGAAGAAGAACAGGCCAAGGCAAAUGCCUCCGGUACCCAGCACUGCCUGGUGCACAGUAGUGGUUGAUCAGUAAUUGUUGAACCAAUCAGGGUUUCUGUUUGCUUGAAGGAAAGGGUAGGAGUGGAGGGUGAGUGACUGGGUGAAUGGGUGCUAUGAGGACAAAGGAGAGUGGAGUUUAGAGGUAGCACUAGUGUCGCAAGCCUGAAGGUUUACCAGAGACAGAGGGGUGAAAAGAUGAGUGGGGCACUAAGCAUAUUGAAUGUGAGAGCUGCUGGAAAUGCAGGAUUGGGGCGUGCUGGGUGGGGCAGGUGAUGUGUGCAGCUGUGGAAGCUGCUACCAAGUCAAGGGCUCUUUUGUAAAAGAAGACACUGAACUAAAAGAUGCUUAGAAGCCUGUCCAGUUCCAAAGCCAUUGGCAUCUUCUCUAAUUAAAGAGUGAACUCCAGUUUCUUAUGAUGUGGGAGUAGAAUUUGGCUGGUCUUUAAUAUCUCACAAAGGGUCUCUUUCUCAGGAAGGCAUGUGUGUGAUUUGGGAGAGGUGAAGAUGAGAAGUCUGAAUCCUACCUACUUGGUUCUCUCCCGUGCAUCAUGGAUGUCAGGAAACACUGUUGAUAUCUCCUGUGCACUGUCAAUGUCCCUCUCUGUGUGUCUUUGAAUGGGGAGCAAGGGGCAUAAGCCAGAUCACCCCAGGCGGUGCCGCACUUUAAGAGGUAUCUGGACCAGCCCUCAGGAGCAUGCAGCCCUUGUCAGAGGAACUUUUGAAGAAACUGGGUAACAGAAUACUUGAGAGACAGACUUGCUGUCCUCAACCACCCCAGGGGUUGUCUGGAGAAAAAGGGUCAGAGAUGUUCUGUGUGGUCCUCGGGACAGAAUCAAAACCAAAAUCUCAAAGUACAUCCUACCCUGCCUUUAACUGAACGGGAUAGUCUGCUGUUUGCAAAAAUAUACAUGCCAAGACACGUCCUUUGUGCAGGUGGGGAACAAAGAUGUUGGCUGGGGGCUUAAUUCUACAGCACUGCCCAUUGCCCUGCUGUGGCAUUCAUCAGUGGAGCCCACAUGGUUCCACUUGGGGUGCUCUAAGUUUCCUCCUAGACCCAUGGGUUUGUAUGAGCCAUGCCAACCAUGACACCAUGACCUGUCUGAAAUGGACUCCACCUUGGUCAGAAUGGAACCAUCUAAGCCCUUGGGACUUGCACCCUCUGUUGAGCUUUGAGAUCAUCUCAGAAAUGGUACUCUCCCUGCAGACUCAGAGCCUUUAGACUCAGGGCUGGUGGCCCUUGACACGCCUCUCUCACCACCAGAUAAUUAUAUUUUCAGGCAGCUGUUCCUUGGGGAGGAAUAUUGAGUGCCGUCCCAUGUGCUAUCUGUUUCUGACCAUUCUGAUUCUGCUGCUGACCUCAGACUGCCCAUGUUGUGGCUACCUCUCCCAUCUGAGUCCCUGCACUGCCCAGUCACAGACAUCUGCUGCCGGACGCCACACUGCCCUGAUGGCUCAGAGCGGCCAGCUCCAACCUGCGUGAUCUCACAGGCAUUGUGGCCUGGGCGUCAGGGUGCUGUGAGAAACACCAGGAAACACUGAUAUUUUUAGUGCAAAUGAUGAAAAACGUUAUGCUAAGUGAAAGAAGCCAGACACAAAAGGACAUAUGGCGGGUGAUUCCAUUUUUAUGAAAUGUCCAGAUAAGGCAAAUUUAUAGAGAUGGAAACUAGAUGAAUUAGUGGCUGCCAGGGGCUGGAGGGAAGGGAAUGUGGAGUGAUUGCUAAUGGGUACAGGAUUUCUUUUCAGAGUGAUACAUGUGUUCUGGAAUUACAUCAUUGGGAUGGUUGCACAACCCUGUGAAUUUUAUGGUCCCUUGGAGCUUCCUUGGGCGCUUCCUGGAAGGAGGUGCUGCAUUCACCCUGCCAGGGCCAGGUUGGGACAAUGAGAGGCAGAGACUGCCCCAUUUCUGUGUGGCAAACAAGAAACAUGGUUUAUCGGUUCUUCUGAGGCUUCAGUUGUACCUCAGACCCUAAAGGGCCCAGCUCUGCCCAUCUCUUCCAUGCAAAGAUGAAGGGAGGGGACAGGGGCUGGCACUGUGGUACCCUGAAGGAGGCACUUAGGACGGUGAUGAUUCUAGGCCCUGAUGAAUUCAUUUUUUAAGCCAGCAAACCCUCCUGGUCCCCUGAGUUCAGGAUACCGUAUUUGUCCAAGCAAAGGAUAGCUCAGGAAUACAGAAAUGAGUCUGAUCCUAGGCAGGACUCAGGGAACACCAUGAAUCCUUGAGAACCAUGGGACGGAGAAUCAGAGUCCUGAGCUGUGGAUCCAGCCCAGCCACUUUCCACCUCUCUGAACCUCUGUUUCCUCAUCUGCAAAACGAAGUGAUAAGCCCCUUCCCAGAGGGCUGUUUUGAGGAAAUUCUUAGUUAUGAAGUAUGUUAGACAUUGUGUUUGCAGUCUUAGGGGGCAGUUGGAGCCAUGAACAGGAGGUCUGCAAGGAGGAACUUGGGUGAAAUUAAAUGAGACAGUGGCUACAGGGGCCUUUGGUGAGCUGUAGUCACUGCACUAACGUAAGGCGGCAUUGUUGGGAUUAUGAUCCAUCUGAAACAGGGGUGUAAACACCGGCCAGGGGAAGGCAGAAUGGGUUCUGUCUGAGAUGGAAAGAGGUCCCAGGGAGAAACUGGCAGUGGUGACAAGAAGGAUUUGGCUGAACAAAGAAGGGAAGAUGGGGGACCGGGCAGCAGGCCAAGGGAGGGGCUUGAACCCUGGCAGGAGGCAGAAAGGGUGAGAGGAGCUGGGGCACAGUGUGGGAUUUUCAGAGUUCACCUGGUUGAAUGGAAGAAAGCCUGUAUGAACUGCAAGAGCUUAUUUUUUGGAAAUGCAGCCCCACGAAAUCAUACUUGACAACAUCGUCUUGUUCAGGGAGCACAGAGUGGGAGCUUGGGGGGUCUCAGGGCAAGUUUAAGAAGGCUGAGGAUGAUGACUGCUCCCCUCAGGCACACAAACAGUACAUUCCCUGAGUGCUUUUGAGAGCUCAGAUGUUGUCAAAAAAGGAAGAUCUGGAGGUCAGAUCAGGACCUAGAGUGCGAAUGCCUCACAAGAAAUUGCGCUCGGAAUUCACAGUACUUUGUUCUUUUUUAUUACUAUGUAUAAUUGUUAUAUGAAUAUACCACAAUUUAUUUAUCCAUUCUAUUUGUUGCUGGCAUUUGAGCUGUUUCCAGUUUUUUUGGCUAUCAUGAAUAGAUCUGCUAUGAAAAUUCUUCUUUGUGUUUUUUGGAGGACAUACAUAGGCAUUUCUAUAGGAUAUAGUCUUAGGAGUGGAAUUUCUGGGUCUGAGGGUAGGUGUGUGGCAUUAGUCUUUGCCAAUCAAUUGUCCAAAUGUGUCUAUUUACCUUCCCA
rnacentral:lncRNA from 1 species